rnacentral:tRNA from 1 species
GCCCGGGUGGUGGAAUUGGUAGACACGAGGGACUUAAAAUCCCUUGGGGUAUUCCCCCAUGCGAGUUCGAGUCUCGCCCCGGGCA